CUACUUACCUGGCAGGGACAGUAACUUGUUUAGUAAGGUGGUUUGCCCAAAGCAAGGCUUAGCCAUUGCAUGUCAGGCUGUGCUGACCUUUUUGCUUAUUCUCCAAAUGUGGGAAUCUCGACUGCAUGAUUUCUGAUAGUGGGGGACUGCAUUUGCACUCUCCCC